rnacentral:tRNA from 1 species
GCCUGGGUGGCUCAGUUGGUUGAGUGUCCGACUUCCGCUCAGGUGCAUGAUCUCAUGGUUCGUGGGUUCGAGCCCCAUGUUGGGCU